ACGUAGUUGAUCCGUGGCUCAGGACGAACGCUGGCGGCGCGCCUAACACAUGCAAGUCGAACGAGCGAGAGAGAGUUUACUUUUUCGAGCGAGUGGCGAACGGGUGAGUAACGCGUGAGGAACCUGCCUCAAAGAGGGGGACAACAGUUGGAAAACGACUGCUAAUACCGCAUAAGCCCACGGCUCGGCAUCGAGCAGAGGGAAAAGGAGCAAUCCGCUUUGAGAUGGCCUCGCGUCCGAUUAGCUAGUUGGUGAGGUAAUGGCCCACCAAGGCGACGAUCGGUAGCCGGACUGAGAGGUUGAACGGCCACAUUGGGACUGAGACACGGCCCAGACUCCUACGGGAGGCAGCAGUGGGGAAUAUUGCACAAUGGGGGAAACCCUGAUGCAGCGACGCCGCGUGGAGGAAGAAGGUCUUCGGAUUGUAAACUCCUGUUGUUGAGGAAGAUAAUGACGGUACUCAACAAGGAAGUGACGGCUAACUACGUG
rnacentral:rRNA from 1 species